CAACUUGACUUGGCCACGGUUUGAAGUGGUUUGGGUUGCUGCUGGUUAGGUGAGGUGCAGAGGUAGAGGUGUGUGUGGUGACGGGCGGGCGGGCGCGUGCGCCCGGUAAAGUAGAGGGGGCGGGGCGGCUACGCGCGGCGGCUAGGGCGCGUCGUCGGCGGCGGCGGCGGCUAGCUAGGCGCGAGGCGCCACCGGAUCGGUACAGGGGGGUGUGCAGCACCUCGGGGGGCGAGGGCCCGCAGCAGUGCGAGUUGACGUGCCUGUCGCGCAUGCUCACGGAGGGCGAGACGGGGCCGCGGCUGACGGGGCUGAUGCGGCGCGGGGGCGGCGGCGGCGAGGGCGAGCGGGGCCAGCGGCAGCUGGCGGCGGACGGGCAUGCGGAGGAGGAGUGGCAGAGGGAGGAGAGGCGGAAGGAGAAGGAGAGCGAGCCCGAGCGGUGCGAGGAGGAGAUGGCGGCGGCGGCGCGGGACGCGGCGGCGGCGGCCCGACGGUGGCGGGUCGACGGAGUUUCGCUCCCCAAGCCGCUGCCGCCCCUGCUCCUCCCUCCGCCUCCGCCUCCUCCCCACCACGUGGUGCAGACCAUGUAGGCGUGCCACCCCGAGCUGCUCCGGUGGUAGCGCAGGUAUCGGUGGUUCCUCAUGGCGCCGCACCCCCGGCCGCCCCUGACGCGCCAAACGGAGCCGCUCAAGUCGCUGCCGCUCGAGCAGGCGGAGGAGGGCGCGACGAGCGUGGGCAAGGUGCGCGGGACGUAGCUGUGGACCGAGGCGCGGGUGCAGUCGACGGGCUAAACGGCAAGGCAGCAGCAGCACGGUAGGUCGGAGGGCCGACGCCGCUGACUACGGCUCCGUCUCCCGCCGCUUCACCUUCUCGUGGUCCACAAACUGCUUUACAGGGGCAGCCUUGGUGACGGGCUCCCAAGGCUCCUAAGGCUACGGAGCAGCCUGUGAGUUUCACUCCUGUGGCUUCAACAUCGUCUCCUCUUACCUUCACACUGCGGGUUCGGUUAUGCCGCGAGACGGAGGUACCUGAGCGGCGACAAGGAACACCAACACGGACUUCCAGUCCCACCACGAGACGGCCGAUUAGCGUUUAACGGCUGACCAGCUGUCUACUCGUAGAAGUUCCGCUUCCUCUUCCUCCGUCGUCCCUGUAGAAGUAGGAGAACAGUUCGUCCGCCCAAGUCCUAACCGUCCAGGUACAGUUCGUCACCAGCCCCUAACAAGAAGAGUGCCUUACCCGCGAGGUGACCGUUGCACGACGGUGAAACUCAACCACAUUACAAUGACAGUUCUCCUAUGUCGGAGUCGUUUCGGCCCUCGACCAUCACAUAGUCACAGACAACUAUCCUUCACAUAUGGCCUAUGGACGUCACCGAGCCUCUCUUUCAGAGUAAGAGUAGACUUUAGACACUCAACUGGUCUCAUUAAUAACACACUAUUCAUAAAGAGCUCACCUACACGAGCACAAUUGAACGUACGGAUUCAAAGGAAAUAGUGUUACAGGUGAAGUUCGAGACGAGUUCACUUAAAACCCCUUCUUCGACUUCCAACCGAAGAAGUACAUUAUAAAUACAUAUCGUUAGAACGUUUCUCACCUGGUCACGGACGAAGUUAUAAAUAACAAAGGUCUUCCCCCACCACGUUUAUAUUCUUAAGCAGGAAACCCCUCCUCCCCGACGGGAGUAAGACAUAUACAUUGUCACCUAUAGUAACUCGUGUAUGGUUUAUUCUGGAACGUGAUCAUUGACUUACAGAAUUCUUUAUUGAUGAAACGUAGUAACAAUAAACCCACAGAUCACUUGAUUACAUAUGGUCGAAAGACACGCUCAAGAAGUACAACCGUCCUAUACGCACUUGAACUUUUGUGUUCCGACAACAAACGAGGACACCAGUUCCUCCCUUCCACGUGGUCUAACUC
rnacentral:rRNA from 1 species